AAACAGUAAAUAAACCAAAGUUCUAAAACGCAGCACUUCAGUGGACUAAAAUGAAACAAAAGUAAAACUUCAGGGCUAGAUCCAAAAUAAAAGAAAAUAAUGAAAAAAGGUUGAAUUGAAGUGCGCUGUAGAGUCGAGGGACUGCGCGCGCAAUUAUACCCUUUAAAGAAAACACGCGGAUCCUUCCCUCGGGUCGGGUCACCGCGCGGGUCAGGGCCAAAACGGCGUCGUUUUGGCACCUGACCCUUAAGGGUAAAACGGCGUCGUUUCCUUUUGGCUAUUUAAGCCAAUUUUUUUUUAAAAAAAAAACUCAUUUCAGCCCCCCACCCUUAAAAAAAUAGAGCUCCUCUCCCCUCUUAAAGCUCCGGCCUGGAUCCGAUCAAACGCUCCGGCGUGCCUCCGCCGUAGAUCCACCGCAGGCGGUGGCCGGAGGUACAAAAUGGAACCUUCCCGGUUCCUUUUUGAAGCCGAUGACCUCUUGAGCACAGAUCCAACGCUGAAUCUUGUGAAAGGUGAGCCCAACCCCGAAAAACGAGGAUUAACCGUUCGUCUCCUCCUUCUCCGGCGCGGCGCAGGUAAGGUUUUUUUUAAUUUUUGUUGUUUUUUCUAGUUAUUUAGCGUAGAAGAUGAAAAUAAACAGAAAAAAAAGGAGUAGAUUCGGACACAAAAAAAAUUACCUUUUAUUUCUUGUUUUUUUUUCAAAGGGACCGAACCCCCCAUUACAGUGAUUCGAAUGGCUUUUUAUAGCCUUUUACAAGCUUUUUCUUUUUAUUUUUACUCUAUUUUUGCUUCUUAAUGUUGCAUGUUGCAGGUGAGCAGUUGGGAGUAGGUGAGCGGCGAUGGGACGUGCGCGGCGGCCAGCAGAACAGCGGUGGUAGGGCAAGUGGGGUGCAGGGCACUAGGGUUUCAGAAAAGCUGAAACCCUAGUUUGACCCUUAAUAUUUGGGCUUGGAUAUUGGUUUGGGCUGAAGCGUAUUGGGUUAGUUGGGCUGGUGGGUUAGUUUAAUUGGUUUAGUUUUUUUGUUUUUGUAAUUGGGCCCGGGCAAAUGGGCUUGUUCAGCUGCCCCUCUUUGCUCGUUAUCGUGUAACGAGAACAGAGCAAAAACCAAGAAAGACCAAUUUGUCCGGUCUCGCCGAGUCUUGAUUUAUUUUGGAGCUUCUCUUCUAGUAGCUUUAUUUCAAUCCAUUGUGUCUUGUUGCGUUGAUCCACUCCACUGCAACUUCAAGAAGACAAGAUUUGUAGCUUCAAUCCGCUCUGUUGUAACUUCAGGGGGUGAAGUUUGUGGUUUAAAUUUACUUCCGUACUAUCUUGGGAAGAUAAGAUUCACCAUCUUUGAUCUGUUCCACUACUGCUUAGGGUGGCAGAAUCUGUAAUCUUCAAUUGUUGUAGCUUCAAUCUAUUUUGCUGCACCGCCGGGGGAGUAAAAUUCACCGUUGUGGCUUCAAUCUUUUAAAUUGCACUGUCGGGGAAGUGAGAUUCGCCAUCAUAGCUUCAAUCCGUUCCGCUGCAUCACCUGGAAAGUAAGAUUCGCCGUUGUGGCUUCAAUCUUUUAAGUUGCAAUGUCAGGGAAGUGAGAUUUACCGUCGUAGCUUCAAUCUUUUCCGCUCCAUCGCCUGAGAAGUAAGAUUCACCGUUGUGGCUUCAAUCUUUUAAAUUGCAAUGUCAAGGAAGCAAGAUCCGCUGUUGUAGCUUCAAUCUGUUCAACUGCACUGCCUGGGAAAUAAGAUUCACUGUUGGGGCUUCGAUCUUUUAAAUUGCAAUGUCGAGGAAGCAAGAUCCGCUGUUGUAGCUUCAAUCUGUUCAACUGCACUGCCUGGGAAAUAAGAUUCACCGUUAAUUCUUCGAUCUUUUAAAUUGCUAUGUCGAGGAAGCAAGAUCCGCUGUUGUAGCUUCAAUCUAUUCAACUGCACUGCCUGGGAAAUAAGAUUCACCGUUGUGGCUUCGAUCUUUUAAAUUGCAAUGUCGGGGAAGUAAGAUUCGUUGUUGUAGCUUCAAUCUGUUCCGCUGCAUCGCUAGGGAAAUGAGAUUUGCCGUUGUGACUUUAAUCUUUUGAAUUGCAAUGUUAGGGAAGUAAAAUUCGCUGUUGUAGCUUCAAUCUUUUAAAUUGCAAUGUCGGGGAAGUGAGAUUCGCCAUCGUAGCUUCGAUCUGUUCUGUUGCAUCGCCAGGGAGGUGAGAUUUACCGUUGUGGCUUCAAUAUUUUGAAUUGCAAUCUAUGGUUUUUUUGACCUGCUUCGCUGUCAACUCGGGAAAGCAAGACCUGCCAUCUUCAUUGAUCUGUUCUUUGGGGAACAUGACCUAUAUGAACCUAUUUAUGCCUAGUGAUUAUGAUCAAAAUGUAUCAAAAUAUCCUGGUUAAAUGUGUAUGCAUGAAUGCAAAUUGAAAAUGAUCUUUCAAUGUUUGAGUUGUUAUUGCCCAUUGCUCAAUAAGGCUUUAUUUCCAACGCAUCUGAAUGCUAUCUUGUCCGGUUGGUAAUGCUCAUCUCUUACUUGGUCGGAUUGCCCCCACUAUAAUCUUCAAGGUUCAAUCCACUGGAUACAAAAUUUGAAUCAUCUUUCUCCCUCUGUAACCCAAGGAUAGAAAGACCUGGCCUUUUUCUCGAUCCUCUGUUAUCAUAAUUCAAUGAUACAGAAUAUGAAACUCUUUGGUCUCCUAUACCAUUCCCAGGGUGUCAUAUCAAAUGCUUAUGCACAAUUGCAAAAUUUUCUUCUCCGAGAAAACAUUUUCUUAUCACUCGGUGAUCAUUACUUGUUUGUUCAUUGAAGCUUUGUCACCAACACGGCAUCUUGUCAUUUUGUUCAAUCAAUGUUUGGACAACAAAAUCUGAAAGGAUAGUCUUUAACUUAGACCCUUCCUUUUUAGAUAUUUCACCAUUUAAACUUGGUGUUUUCUAAACAAUAGUCUUGUUUCAGGUUCCUAUAUUAUUUAGAAACUUCUAGAGUAAUAUGCAAAACUUCCACUGUGAAAGUAUUAUUAGUCCAUUAAUCAUUAUUCUAAUGCAACAUGCUUGCAAAAGAUCAUGACGAUAGAUAAAAUAGAAUUGAUUUGAGAGCAUAGCUCAAAAUGAAUAAAUUAUCAAGAAUAACAAGAAUAAAAAGAGGAAUUGACUGGAACAUGUAUCUUGGAAAAGAAAGAAGUAUUUCAAGAUUAACAAAUUCAAUAUAAAUAGUAUGAGGACUAGAUGCCCCAGAUAUAGCAGCCUGAACUUCUCUAUACAAACUUUUUGAAAGACCAUUCUGAGUUUGACAUGUGUUUAGGAGAUCUUUAGGACUUUGUCGAUGCUCCAAGAUGUCGCCUACCUUUUCUUGUUGUUUUAGGUAUGGCAAGAUCAUCAUAUGCCCCGAUCUGAUCAAAAUUUGAGCUGCUCUGAUCACCACCAUGCCCCAAUUUGAUCCAAAAUUUAAGUCGCUCUGACCACUUUGUGCCCCAUUUUGUUUCAAAAUUUGAGCCACCCUUUUUGGGUUUUCAACUCAAAUCCCCUUUGGUCUCAAGGCGCCCUUUGCGGGUUUUCACAUUGGCAUCUCCUUUUUUUUCUUUUCUUUUCUCUUGUUCUUCUCCUUCUUCUCUUUUUUUCUUUUUUUUUGUAGUUUUUAUUGAAUCUAAACCCAUAAGAUUAGGCAUGUCCUUGUUAUCCCUUCCGAUCAAGAUUGACACUUUUCCAGAUAAGACCUUCCUCACAAGGUUCUUCCCAGCUUGGUAUGAAGUUUUUUUUGUAUGAAAAGGAUUUUCUUCAAUACCAGGUCCUCUCAUGGAAUCCUCUAGGGCAAACUCUUUUUUUUUUAAAUUGCCCUUUGCGGAUUUUCACAUUGGUCCUUUCUUCUUCUUUAAACGAAGUGUUUCUUGACUGGAUCCGAGUUUAUAAGAUUAGCAAUCUCACUCAGGAUCAGUGCUCCUCUGAAAAAGGUCUUCUUUACAACAUAGGGACAUUUCCGAUUUGACAUUCAUUUCCCUUUAGAAUCCUUUCAUUAAGGAAGAAUCUUUUUCAACAUCUAGCCCUCUCGUGGAAUUCUCUGAUACGAGCCUGUUUAUUGUGGGCUCAUAUCAUUUAUUUCUGGUACAUCCGACCCUGAUGAAUAGCUUUUAACCCUUUUUCUAGGGCCAACUGAUCACAUUGCGAUUGGAUCCGUCCAACAAGCAAUGAGGGGAUUUCAAUAGGUAAAAUUACCUCAAUCCUGUAAACCAACAAGAGAGGUGUUGCCCCAGUACAAAUGUUCGACAAGCGAUAAGGGCAAAUGGUAAUUUCUCAUGCCAGUCCUUGUUCACCUCUAGGUAAUUCGGUGACAAAACGUGGUGUCUAAUUCUGAAUUGAUUUCAGACCCCAGUUAUCGUGCUAUCAUUUAAGUUCAAUACAUUUUCUAAUACCAUCCUCCCUGAAAUUCUGUAUCGGUAUAGGAUGACCUUGAUCCAUGAAGUAGCCUUUCAAAAAAUAUGAAGCAAUGCCCAUUAGAAGUCUUCGAUAAUGGUGAUGUCCAUGCCUCAUUUUGCUCAAAAUUUGAGUCGUCCUUUUUCAGGUUUUCAACUCAGAUCCACCUUUGGUCAAAGCGCCCUUUGCGGGUUUUCGCCUUGACUUCUCCUUUUUCUUUUUCUUUUCUUUUUUCUUCUUUCUUUUUCUCUUAUGAUUUUUUGAUUUUUUUUUGAUUUUUUUAUUUUUCUUUCGAGUCUGAACUCAUAGGAUUUGGUAAGUCCUUGUUAUCCCUUUCGAAUGACCUUCUUUGAUCGGAUUUCCUUCAUAGAGCCUUCUGGGGCGAAACUAUAACAGAAAACUUUUGAUCUUCCUCUUUAAUCAGGAUAAAAUCCCACAGAACUUGAAGAGAUGGAAGCUCGACUUCAAAUGGGCAAAGCUAUGCUGAGUCAACGAGAGAGGCAUUUGCCCUGACGAAGAAUCGCAUCGUUCACUGCAAAUUUCUGAAAACAUGUUGCUGUGUAGAUUUUAUUAUCAGUGAUUAAUUUGGGCAUAUCCUGGUAUGAUCAUACAAAGGCAUCUUUGAACUCUAGAGGUAACUCAACAAGGUCAAUUCUAGUCUUCACCAAGCUCACAAUUUUUAAUGAUUCCUUGAGAGGUAGGAUCUGUUUAUCCUCUUGUUCUACCAAGUUUGGAGAUAAGCUACGAUCUAUGUCAUUUCCAAAGUCAUGAGAUCCGUCUAAACACAUGCCUCGCUCAAGUGGAAAAUCUGAGUUUGUAGCAAUUUCAUUCAUGUCAUUGAUAUCUGAAGACUCAUAAUAAGUACCAAAGAAUAUACAAAAAAAACGUAAAUUUAUGAAUAAUUAUUUAUACAAUAUGAUUAUGAAUGAAUGAAUUAUGUGGAAGAAAAUCCAAAAGAAUAAAAUAAUCAGAAAUAAUUAUUCAAAAAUAAUAAAAGAAUAUUGGCUCAAAAAGGAAUGCGAAGAUGUAUUUUAUUAGAAUAAUGACGUUCAGACAUUAGCCUAUUUUACAAAGGAAAUUCUAUCACUUUUAGGCUAAAAACAAAAAUGUUCUGAACAUUACUCUACAAGGAUUUCUUCUGCAGUUCAAUUGUUCAGAACACUCCCAAGUUUAUAAGGGCGAACAUCUAAUAAGAUCUCUUCUCCAGUUGCUUCUUCGUAUUCGGCACUGAUGUGAACAUUUCCCAACAUUUCUUCAUUCAUCGCAUUCCCUUCAUUAUCCGUAUGAUUGAGUAGCGGAUUUUCUACACUGGAGGCCUCAUCGAAUUUGACAAUGCCUAUUUUAAUGAAUCUUUCAACUAGUUUCUUGAAGGCAAUGCAAUUCUCUAUUGAAUGCCCUGUAAUUCCCGCAUGGUAAUCGCAUUGUGCGUUCAUGUCAUACCAUUUGGGAUACGGAGGCUGUAUGGGUUUUAAGUAACGAGGAGCAACAACAUGUGCAUCGAACAAGCUUUGAUACAGCUCCUUAUAUGACAUCGGAAUUGGUGUGAACUGGAGCUUCUUGGUGCCUGGUUUCACUCCAGAUUCUUGCUUUAAAGAACUCCGAUGUCUGGUGGUUUCUGUCUUUGGCCAGCCCAUAGUGAUUGGUUUUGAGUGGCCUUUAUUAUAUCUGUUCGCAUUAUUCCCCCUAUUUUCCUUCUUCCUUGGGGCCUCUAUAGUAUCUGGGUACUCUGCCCUCACCUGCUUCAUUUCUACUGGAUCAUCACGUGCAACAAGAAAAUUGUUCCUCAAAUUGGAUCUUGGGCCCGUCAAGCCACUCAUUGGUGUUGUUGUACCAGUCUGAUAUUGUUGAGAUCUUAUGGUAAAGAGUGCCCCUUGUAGGUGCCCAUCUGGCUGGACCUGGACACUUGUCGGAGUACAAUCUAAGAAAUAAGCAAAAUCCUCAUUAUCAACCUCAGAGUGGUCUAUCAGGUCCUUCCUUUUUUCUAACUCUCCCGCUAGCAAUCGGUUGAAUUGGCUUAUCAUAGUUCUCUGUAAUUCUAGCAUCUGAUCUCUCACCUUCUGUUGAAAUUCAGUCAAUUGCUCCUACAUCUGUAUCUGCAUUCGCUCUAAUCUCUCCAACCUUUGGUCCAUUCCUUUAGUUUCUAUUCGGGUACCGUAAUAAUGUUGGUUUUCCAGAUUAGCUGAAAUAAUUUUUACUCAAUUAGGGUCCUUUAAUGGUUGUUAAUGCAUAUGAUGUCAUGUAAUGCAAAUGCAUGAGAUGUAUGCCUAAAGAGACGUUGAUUCUGAUUCAAUUACAUUUAGAAAACUUUUCUAGAAAGCAAAUUCCUUUACAUAAAGCAGAUGCAUGUACGGCCUCGCCCUUAUAUUCCAAGAGACAACAUCGAUAUUUUUCUUUAUCCGCAUGUUUGUAAUAAUCUCGCCAAUUUUCAAUAGAUACCACUGCUAGCUCCUUUUCUUAAUCUUGGUCGCGAUCCAUCAUCUGCCCAUCUUCAUAAGGCUCGCCAGCUUCUUUAAGGGAGUUGGAGCGGCGAAGGCUCUUAGACAAUCGCCUUGAAUCCUAAGGCCACGAAACAAGGUCACGAACUCUUCCAUUGCCCUUCUUGUGUUUCUCAGAAUAUAUUCAGGCAGCCGUAUUAUUUUCCAUUUUAUCAAAGAAUCCGUAUUUCAUGACAAGCUUUUUAAUUUAGUAAUCGAACUUGAAUCAAUAUCUCUUUCCUAAGAUGCAAGUGCAAUGCAAUCAAAACACAACAAGAGGGGUUAGUACAAAACAUAAGCAAACAAGAAAAAAAGUACCCAGUCGGGUAACCACUAGGGAUUUGGAGUGGCUCUACCUAGGUUAAGUUCCUAAGUCCACUAUAUGAGGUUUGGUUCUAAAUUCAAGGUACCCGAACCAGCAGAUUCCUCGAUCCUUACCCAUUAUAGGCUCAUACAGACCGAGUUCGAUUAAGGGGAAUACAUUUCCCUAUGGCUGCACGGAGAUGAAAAUCUCACGAAGACAUAGGUACGAAUGUAUCCCGAAAGUGAUCCACUAUCCUGCACGGAGGUGAAAACCUCACGAAGGAGUAGCUUCUCACUCCCACUUAAAAAGGGUAAGACUAAACAGUCUUUGUGCAAUAUGAUGCCAAGGUAUAAAACUCAAUUUUCAAUAAUCAUACGAUCAAAUACAACGAAAGGAUCGUAAAUUUAAACCAAAUUUUCAAUUUUCGAUAAAAAUACAAAAAGUAAUCAACUCGUGGCUUGACUCUUUUAUUUUAGUCCCCAGUGGUGUCGCUAAGCUGUUGACACCAUUUUUUAUUGAAAACGGGGUCGACUUGGGUUUUGAAAAAUGAAAAUGAAAAUGGGAGUCGCCACCGAUCCUUUUUUAUGAGGUGUGAUUGGAUCACCUCAAAAAGUGGUUGUUUUUAAUAAACGAUUUAAUUUUAUUAAAACAACGAUUUUGGUCCACGAAAUUCAGAAAAAUGGGUUCGGGAGUCGGUUAUGCACGAGGAAGGAUUAGCACCCUCGAUACGCCCAAAAUUGGUACCUAGUUGAUUACUUAAUGUCUUAGUGUCGAAAAACUGAAAACUUUAGAGAGAUUUAAAAUACGAUCCUUAAAAAACUCGGAUGACAUUAAUUGAAAUUCGAGAGGAUAUUUGGCUAUUUGGUUAAACGAGAAAUCGAAACCCAGCACCUUAGGGUACGUUCCUCAAAUUUCCAAACGCGAAACAUUGUCUUAUUUUGAAAUUUUUUAAAAGGAUAUUUAGCUAUUUGGUUGAAUGAGAAAAAUCGACACCCAGCACCUUAGGGCUUGUUUUCUCGAAUUUCCCAAACGCAAAACAUUACCUUAUUAAAAAUUUUUUAAAAGGAUAUUAAGUCAUUUGGUUGAACGAGAAAAAUCAACACCCAGCACCUUAGGGCAUGUUUUCUCGAAUUUCCAAACGCAAAACAUUGCCUUAUUUAAAAAAAAAUUUUAAAAGGAUAUUUAGCCAUUUGGUUGAACGAGAAAAAUCGACACCCAGCACCUUAGGGCAUGUUUUCUCGAAUUUUCAAACGCAAAACAUUGCCUUAUUUUAAAAAAAAAAAUUAAAAGGAUAUUUAGCCAUUUGGUUGAACGAGAAAAAUCGACACCCAGCACCUUAGGGCAUGUUUUCUCGAAUUUCCCAAACGCAAAGCAUUGCCUUAAUUGGAAAUAUUUUCCUUUUUUUGAAAUAUGAUAUUUAUAUGCAUAAUAGAAUAAUAAACAUGAUAAUGUGAAUAAAAAAUGAACAAAAAAACGAAUAAUAAAAUAAAUCGAUCAUGCAUAUACCAUGGCAAAUAAAUAAAUAAAUAAACUAAAGCAUAAAAAUGGACAUAUAAGUAAAUACAUAAAUGAACAUAAAAAAACAAUAAAGGAAUAUAGAUAGAAAUUAUAAAAUAUGGACAUGUGUAUAUACAUAAAUUUAUAAAAAUAUAAAAAAUAUGUGUAUGUGUAUGUGUAAUUUAAAAAUAUUAAAUAAAGAAUAUAUAUAAAUAAGCAUAUACAUAUAUAUGUAUGUAACUAUCAUAAAAUAAAAAGUAUAUAUAUAGAUAUAUGUAUGAAUCAUAAAAUAUAAAGAACACAUAUAUAAAAUACAUAUUUUAAAAAAAUGAAGAAUAUGUAAGUGUAUAUAUAUAUUACAAAAAGUAUGUGUGUAAGUAUAUAAAAAAAUAUAUGUAUAUAUAAAAAAAACGUAUAUAUAUAAAAGGGCAAUUAUAAUAAUAAUGAUAAUAAUAAUAAUAACAAUAAUAAUAUUAUUAUUAUUAAAAGUAAUAAUGUUAAAAAAAUAAUUGACUAAAUAAUAAAAGAUGCUAAAAAAGGAUUAAAUUGAAAUAAAAACGAAGAUACAGGGCCAAUUCGAAAUAAUAAAUAACAAAAAGGAUCAAAUUGCGACACGCGUAAAAAGGGAAGGACCGAAACAGUAAAUAAACCAAAGUUCUAAAACGCAGCACUUCAGUGGACUAAAAUGAAACAAAAGUAAAACUUCAGGGCUAGAUCCAAAAUAAAAGAAAAUAAUGAAAAAAGGUUGAAUUGAAGUGCGCUGUAGAGUCGAGGGACUACGCGCGCAAUUAUACCCUUUAAAGAAAACACGCGGAUCAUUCCCUCGGGUCAGGUCACCGCGCGGGUCAGGGCCAAAACGGCGUCGUUUUGGCACCUGACCCC
rnacentral:lncRNA from 1 species